GUGUGAAUCCCCACUUAACAAGUUUUGAUUUCAAAGCAUGCUUCGCAGCAACCAUAGAUAGCCUUUGUCCUCCCCCUCUUCUCUCUCCAAAGGCUCCAGAAGCCCUUCUCUUCCUCCAAGACCAAACAAAGCGGCAACUCAUUCUCAAGCACUAGCAGCGGAUGAUUUGAAGAAAAGCAUGCUGUGCACUUUAAAUUGGAAAUCAAUGCAACUAUUAACUAAUAAUAAUAAAUAUAUGAAAAUCAACGAAUUUCCUUACUUCAAAUGUCCUUGAGCAACUACAUCUGCUUAUACUGGUCUGCCUUAGCUAUGUCAUUUAAAAUUUCCCCCUUUUUUAAUUCAACAUUUUCGUUCCACUGCUUGAUCUCGUAAUUAAGUUCCUAAAGCUAUUUGCAUGAUGCACUUUCAUUCUCUCCAAUGCUCCCUCCAACACCCUCCUGCAUUUAGGUUUGCUUGAAUCAAAAAACUUUUAUUUUCCAAGUCAUCAAAGUUUAUACAGAGAAGCCCAAUACCAAAAUUGAUAAACCAUAAAAUAAAAUUUCAGGCAUGAUCCAUGAUAAUACAUAAUGAAAAUUCUUGAAUAUUUAAACCAUGAACAGAGACAUUCCGAAGAAACUUAUGCUGACAUGAACUCACUCUACAUGUAUUUAGUAAAGUUGUAAAGCAUAAGCCAAGUACUUUCACAUACGAACCUUAUGAAUAGCGUACAAGAGCUAGGGAGUAGAAUAUUUGAAAGUGAGCACAUAAAGACAUCGGACUGAAAUAAUCCAUGAAUACACUUCUUUGAAUUGGAAAAGGAAAGACAGACAGCUCUUCAACUUAACCUGGCAAGAUGGCAUAGAUGGUCUCUUCAAUGCUGGUAAUUAACCGAGUUUGGAAAGAAAUUUAUAAGUGAAUAGUACAAAUUUUAGAACUUUAGUAUGGUCAAUCCGGUGCUAGUAUUAAUAGAGUAUCUUCCUCUCAACAAUUUGACGUGGUCACUGGAGGGUUUAGCCUUGUAUUAGCUUAGGCUGAUAACUGUGCAAAUAGGGCAUAUCUUGUCUAGGCNNNNNNNNNNNNNNNNNNNNNNNNNNNNNNNNNNNNNNNNNNNNNNNNNNNNNNNNNNNNNNNNNNNNNNNNNNNNNNNNNNNNNNNNNNNNNNNNNNNNNNNNNNNNNNNNNNNNNNNNNNNNNNNNNNNNNNNNNNNNAUCAAUAAUGCAACCCCUUCCACCUAUAACUAAACCAACUUUAUGCAAGUUGGUUCCUGGAACUAUAACAAGGAUCGGAUGCACUAUUAUCGAUUCCAGCGAUCUACUGCAAGAGGAUAUUCAAGAAUCCCCACUUUUGUAGAAGAAACGAUUUCAGCUAUUCCAAGAUCUGAUUUAAAGGAAAUAUCAGCAUAAAAAUUGUGAUUCUUAAUAACUUUCUUGUUUUCCUCUUUUUCUUCCUUUGCGAAUAAUGUGAAGAUCCCUAGUUAAUAACAGAAAAGUGUAAAAGAAAAGGAGAUGAAGAAAAAAUUAAUAAGUUAAACACACAUCACCACCUCUUCUCCUUCUCUUCCCCUUGGCCCGCAAGGAGUUUCUUGGACGCGUUCUUCGCAGUCCUUCGUACUUGCUUUCUAUCCUCGCCUCCCUCUCGCUCACUUCUUCUCCUCCGCCACCGCCAUCAUCGCCCUCAGAUCGAUCCCCGAUCGAUCGAAAUCCACCACCGAAACACCAGAAAGAACCCCAGCCAGCGAGAAGUCGUCGCCGGAGAGCGAGGGUUCCGGAGUACCGAUCGAUGACGGCGGGGUGCACGGUGCAUCGCGUCGGCAAUAAACCCUAGUUUCUGUGAGAGCCGGAGCGAGCGGAGAUCAGGCCGGAGAGCGGACGGAGACGGUGGUGAAGUGAGAAUAAAGAAAAGCGGGAAUUCGGGUUAAGCAUAAAGCAUGAACGCGCGUGGACAAAAGUUCUCUAAAUCUUGGCCCAGGGACAGGCCCAGGCCAGCCCAUCAUAGUACCCAACAAUUAUCCAACCCAUUAUAGUACGCAAGAUUGCAGUGUGGGACGUGAAUUCAUAGGAAUCCAGAAGCAAGCCCAAAAAUAGGAUUCGGCGUGUAUCUUUGUUUAUGUGAUGACAGAAUUUGAAUGGUGGUAAAGUAUAUUUCGAUUUGGCAAUUCCCAAUCCCUGCUAACCAAACCUACUUCAAAUAGAGGCUGAGGCCAAAUUCAAAUGGUAAUGCUACAAGGUGAAAGAAGAAAAAUGGAAAUAAGGAAGUGGAGGAGGUGAAGGAAGUUAGCAGCCAUGGUUGGAUUUGUGGCAAACCUAUGGCCUGUUGGGUUACCUUUGCAUGCCUGCGUUUGGCCAUGAUCUGUUAUGGCCUCCUAGUUUGAGGCCUUAUUUGGGGGAGCUGUUGGCAGUAGAGCUGUUGGAAGUAGAGCUGUCUGAAGUAGAGCUGUUAUAAAAAGCUGUUUGUUGUUUGGUAACUAUAUUUUUAAAGUGCUGUGGUACUUUAAUAUAUGUUUGGUAAACAAACUGAGAAAGUACUUUUAUAUGACAAAAUUACCAUAAAGGACAUUGCAUAGUAUUAUACAAUAGAGCAUGAUAAAACAUAACAUAUAUUAAUNNNNNNNNNNNNNNNNNNNNNNNNNNNNNNNNNNNNNNNNNNNNNNNNNNNNNNNNNNNNNNNNNNNNNNNNNNNNNNNNNNNNNNNNNNNNNNNNNNNNNNNNNNNNNNNNNNNNNNNNNNNNNNNNNNNNNNNNNNNNGACCAGUAUCGGUUGGUUCAGCAAACCAUGGUUACCAACAUGAUUCACUCCUUCGAAAUGGCUUAUAAAUGGUGUUUUUCCCUCAUUCGAAGCACUCAUUCCCGUCAAAGCCGUCGUCCCCGUUCGAAGUCCUUGUCUCCUUCAAUGGAUCCAGUUAAUCUCUCCUUCUCUCCCUCUCCCCCCUCUCUCUUGGGGUUCCCACCACCAGAUCCGAAGCUCUCAAAGCUCCCUAUCAAUGGAUCUAGUGAGUCUCUCUCCCUUCUCUCAAAGUUCUCGUCGCCAGAUCCGGAGCUCUCGAAGCUCUUUGUCGAUGGGGCCUUGACCUCUCUCUCCCUCCCUCCCUUCAUCUCUUUUCUCUCCCCCCCUCUCCCUCUCCCUCCCUGUCUUCUCGAAGUUCUCCAUUGAUGAGGCCUCUCUCCUUCCUCUCCCCCUUCUCCCUCUCCCUCUCCCCCUCCCUCUCCCCCUCCCUCUCCUUGUUUCCAUACACUCAGGAACAGUAUGAUAUAGACCCAUACUAUACUGAACCAAACCAAUCGCUAAUCGGUAUGACUCUCGACACCGAUCCUCGACACCGAUCCAGCAGACCUUUGCUUUGAAAUUUCUAACAGUAACAAUCACUACUUAGUCUACUCAAAUUAAGACCAAAUCUUGGACAAGGCUCAAAAGUAGCCUAGAAAACUUUGACAACUAAUCUGUCACAAAUAAUAAGCAGAAUAGAAACAUUAUGUCAUUUGGUGAUUGAAGACCAAUAAUUAACAAAAAAAGAAAAUGCUAAUGAAACAAUAUAAUAUGUCUUGUAAUGGAAAGUAUAAUUUCUUUGAAUAUUUACUAAUAUAAUAUAAUGGUUCUUUUGAUUGCAUCCUCUAUAUGUUCUGAAUCAAUUAUGCAACAAGAAAGCUUAACAUUUCGCAUGGUGAUCAUACAAGGAAGUUCCAAAUAAUUAUAGAGAUAAAGGGCAGGUGGACACAUUGUACAGCAUGUGGACUUGUUCAUGUUUUAGCUUAUUUUCCUCGAAAGGCGAUAAAAUAAUGAAAGUAAACAGCACAAACUUGUAAGGUGCUAUUAAUGAACACAAUUUUUUGGACUAGAAGAUGCAAUGCUGGGAUUCUUAUUUCUUGACAAUUAUACCACCUCUCAUUGUUUUUAUCUCCUUUAUUUUAGAAAUCAAGGUUUUAAAGGAUCAGGACCACGCCAAUCCUUAGUUGGCAUGGCAUCCAUUGUGCCAUAUACUGUACCAACACAACAUACUAACUAGUAAAGAUCCAGCUAAAGUGAGCAAGAAAAGAUAAACCAAGGGUACAAUCAAGGUUCGCCAUCUUGGUACCAUACCCCGUACCGAUGCCACACAAGCAUAGUGUUGCUACGAUAUAGUACGAAAUUUUUUUGGCGUAUCGAGUAUCGGUACACCACCCAUACCGAGUACCGAUACCAAACCGAUACAGUACGUCUCGUUCCAUCCAAUUUGGAAUAGUAUGGCGUACCAUGGGUAUAGUAUUGAGUGGAUAGGAUGGUACGAGGUCAAUAUGGCAUCUUGGGGCCAACCAAGUAUAACUAAACCAAUUUGCUAGUCUCCAUGUACUAUUAUAACUAAACCAACUUUCUAGAUUAUUUAUGCAAUCAUGCGAAGACAGCCUCCAUGGAUUAGGUAACACAUGCUGGUGGCUUGCCAACUUGGCACCAACAAGUUAUGCACCAUGCCGUGCCUUCCGAAUGUUUGGCUUGAUUGCAUGUCACGCACUCAAAUGCAACUAGUACCAUGUCAAUGUUGCUCACCAAAAAGCCACUGCAUGGUAUAUAUCAUACGUUGUCAAUUAACACUUUAAUCCAUAUCAACCACUAGCAGCUACUUCAUGACUACUCUUUUGCUCAAUGGUGUGACACAAUUAUUUUCAGAGUUCUGCGUCGCAAUCAAGGGCCAUUAAAGGGACCAUUAGAGUUCGCCCAACUAAUAUCAUCUCUGAGCAGAAGAGUACGAUUUUUUUGGGAAACCAUGAACAAUUUCAAGUCCCAAGUGAAUCAUCUUCCCAAGUUUAAGCCACUACAAUUAUCUAACUUACUAUGACCAUCUUUGCAUGGAGAUUUCCUUGUAUGAGCUAUUUUUGGAGGAGAGUUUUCUUGAUGGUAAUGCCACACACACCAUGUUCUUCUACCAAAGACAUGUCGUGGCUUCUUGCUCAACUUUAUGACAUUUGGCCGCCAUUCUUUAGCGCUUCUUAUUUAGGCAUGACUAAGGAAUGAAUUAUAUGCUUUUGGUGCUCCUUCAUUGUUACUAAAUAGAAGGUUCUAGCUAGACCAUCCAGUGACCACGUCAAAUUGUACCAAUGUUGGUUAGUGUCAAAAUAUAUGCAUCUAUAUUGACUAGAGAAAUCAUAUUGGCAUUAUGAAUGCUGCAUUCUCAUGUUCUCCUAAAUAAGAAUAUAUUAAUGUUGAAAAUUCAUAAGCAAUUAUUUAAUAUUUUACGAGUUAAUUACUCCAUCUCUACUUUCUGUAUCAAUUUUAUCCCUUUCAAAUUUAACCUAUUUGAACAAGGUUAAAAUGCAGAAUAUCUCCAGAAACUCUUCAUUAACAAAAAAAAAUGGAGGAAAAAAACUAGACCAUAUAACCAUCUUUCGCACCAAUAGUCACAAAUUGAAGUCUACGAGUUAUUAACAAUCAAAACCUAACAUCUACAGAUUUAUUUAAUAUCCAAAACUCGCAUUACAACUUAGCCUCGAAACCAAAUAAAGUCUCAAAUAGUAAACUUCUCCAACCCUUGAACCUAACACCAGCCUCAUUCCUCAAUGGCUUGUCUCUAUAGUACUUAGCUAUAAUCGAAUGUAUAAGAAGCCAUCAUCUACCUCCCCUGAUCUCCAAGUCUUUCAUUUAAUCAACUCCAAGUUCCAUCUUCUACUUCAAUAGAUUAACGCAAUUUACUGUGUGAAUCCCCACUUAACAAGUUUUGAUUUCAAAGCAUGCUUCGCAGCAACCAUAGAUAGCCUUUGUCCUCCCCCUCUUCUCUCUCCAAAGGCUCCAGAAGCCCUUCUCUUCCUCCAAGACCAAACAAAGCGGCAACUCAUUCUCAAGCACUAGCAGCGGAUGAUUUGAAGAAAAGCAUGCUGUGCACUUUAAAUUGGAAAUCAAUGCAACUAUUAACUAAUAAUAAUAAAUAUAUGAAAAUCAACGAAUUUCCUUACUUCAAAUGUCCUUGAGCAACUACAUCUGCUUAUACUGGUCUGCCUUAGCUAUGUCAUUUAAAAUUUCCCCCUUUUUUAAUUCAACAUUUUCGUUCCACUGCUUGAUCUCGUAAUUAAGUUCCUAAAGCUAUUUGCAUGAUGCACUUUCAUUCUCUCCAAUGCUCCCUCCAACACCCUCCUGCAUUUAGGUUUGCUUGAAUCAAAAAACUUUUAUUUUCCAAGUCAUCAAAGUUUAUACAGAGAAGCCCAAUACCAAAAUUGAUAAACCAUAAAAUAAAAUUUCAGGCAUGAUCCAUGAUAAUACAUAAUGAAAAUUCUUGAAUAUUUAAACCAUGAACAGAGACAUUCCGAAGAAACUUAUGCUGACAUG
rnacentral:lncRNA from 1 species